rnacentral:rRNA from 1 species
AUUGAACGCUGGCGGCAUGCUUUACACAUGCAAGUCGAACGGCAGCGCGGGCUUCGGCCUGGCGGCGAGUGGCGAACGGGUGAGUAAUACAUCGGAACUUGCCCAGUAGUGGGGGAUAGCUCGGCGAAAGCCGGAUUAAUACCGCAUACGACCUGAGGGUGAAAUCGGGGGAUCUUCGGACCUCGCGCUAUUGUAGCGGCCGAUGGCAGAUUAGCUAGUUGGUGGGGUAAAGGCCUACCAAGGCGACGAUCUGUAGCUGGUCUGAGAGGACGACCAGCCACACUGGGACUGAGACACGGCCCAGACUCCUACGGGAGGCAGCAGCGGGGAAUUUUGGACGAUGGGCGAAAGCCUGAUUCAGCAAUGCGGCGUGUGUGAUGAAGGACUUCGGGUUGUAAAGCACUUUUGGCGGGAACGAAAAGGACUGUGCCAAUACCACGGUUCGAUGACGGUACCCGCAGAAUAAGCACCGGCUAACUACGUG